rnacentral:rRNA from 1 species
GGCGUAAGCGCGCGCAGGCGGUCCUUUAAGUCGGAUGUGAAAGCCCAGGGCUCAACCUUGGAUCGUCUCCGAAAACUGGUAGACUUGAUUGCGAAAAAGGAAGGUGAAUUUCCCGGGGUACCGGUGAAUUGCUUAAAAAUUGGAAGAACCACCAUGGGCAAAGGCAACUUCCUGGCCUGAAACUGACCCUGAGGCGCGAAACCGGGGGAAGCAAACAGGAUUAAAUACCCGGGUAUCCCACCCCGUAAACAAUGAUGGCUAGUGGUUGGGGUCUUUACACCCUUGAUGGCGAAGCUAACCCAUUAAGCCAUCCGCCUGGGGAAUACCGGCCCCAGGAUUAAACUCCAAUGAAUUGACGGGGACCCCCACCAGCCGUGGAAUAUGGGGUUUAAUUCCAAACAACCCCAAAAACCUUACCAGGGCUUGGCCUGCGAAUGAACUUCCGAAAAAUAAUGGUUUCCUUCGGGAACUCCAAGACAGGUGGUGCAUGGUUGUCGUCAGCUCCUGUCGUGAGAUGUUGGGUUAAGUCCCGCAACGAGCGCAACCCUUG